UAUGACAUAAUUUUUAUAAAAUUAUUUUUAAUGCUAGGUCAAAUGAAUUGUUCAUUCAUCCUCUCUCUGACCAACCAAUAUUUAUAGACCAUUUCCUUUGUGCAAAAAGCUGUACUGAGAAUCCAAAAAGGUAUAUAUCUCAUCUCUGCCGCCAAUUAGUUUACAACAGGACUGCUGGGGAAAGAAGAGGUGGAGCAGAGUGCCUGCCAGAUCUGGAGUACAGAAGAGGAUAAAGCCCUGGAGUCAGAGAGCCACAUGAGAGAAGGAGCUUGGGCCUGGAAUCAUUGUCGGAGCAGAGCAUACCACCCUCAAUCCACAUCAGACUGACACGAACAAGAAAAACUUCCUUUGGCAAAGCAUUGCAGGCACGUGGUCCUCUGGUCGAGUGGUCUAAACUUUUGGAAGGGGCAAACAGAUCUCCAGAGACCUUAUGACAGAAGACAGUGACUGACUAUGGGAAAUUGAAAUCAUGCAAAGCAAAAC